CUCCUCCUCCCCCGCCGCCGCGGCUGAGGCGGGGCGCCGCCGGCGGGGGCCUCCUUACGCCGCCUCCGUAGCGCCCCGCCCCCGCUGGCCGGCCGAUGGCGUAAACCCCUUCGGGAAUCCUGGCGCGCCGCUCCUCCUGCGCAACCUGCGUGCGGCUUGGCCAUGCGGUUGCGCCACCUUCGUAAAUCGGUAUGGGAAUAGCGCUCCUCCUGGAAACUUGCGUGCGGCCCGGCAAUGCCGCUACGUCACCUGCGUAACUCGGCACGAGAAUAGCGUAGGCGGCGGCGGGCGGCGCGUCGUGAGGGGAGAUGGCGGGGCAGAGGCUCCCUCACGGCACCGCCGGGCCGAGGCCUCCGCGAACGGGCUGGGCCGGGCCAACCGGGCCCCCAGGCCGCGGGAUGGAGAGGUGCAGUUUCCACAUCAAUGCAGUGGAUGCUGCUGAGGAGGAACCACCUCAGUUUGAUUUUGUGAAGUGCUGGUGUUCAGCCUCCAUGGGCAGUUCUGGCAGUGCACUGGAAUAAGGCUGCAAAGCUCAGUCUUUGAGAGGUGCUGCCAAUGUCGUGACAUUCUGGCUGGCUGAGGUGUUUGGUUCUGCUGGGAGACCCCUCCAUCCUCUUCCUGGUCAGCAAAGGGACACCACUGAGCCCUGGAAGAAUGACUGGGUGGAGGGUGAGGGUGCUGAGAGUGGAAUUGUUCUGUGUGUGAGAGUAAAUCUGGAUGAACAUCCCUUACCCCUUGCUGAUGGAGCACUGCCCUUCACACCAAAUAGGCUUGAAAGACGAGCAUGCAUCUGCCUGACAGCUUUGAGAGCGAGCCAUCCCUGCCAGCCAAAGCAGAUUCUCUGUGCCUGCUUCCAAGCAGCACGAGCUGAAACAACUGGUGGCAGAGUGGGGUGUCUCUACAGUCCUAGCCACGAAGAGAGGAGAUGAAACAUCCUCCUGCUCGCAGCACAGGGAAGAGGCUGGAGCUGGGCUGCUUUCUCCACACCUGUAGAACUGUGGUGAAAUGGGGAUUCUUUGUGUUUCAUUGGCUUCUCUGAGGAAAACAGCAACCACGAGAUGAGACAGAGCCUCGGGGAUAAAGGACACUUGGAGCACCUGUACUGAAAGAGAGAAGGUGAAGAAGCCUGUGAGCAUUCCCUGCCUCCUCUGGUCUUAUGCAGAUUCUAAACACAGGUCUGAACGCGAGCGCGAUGGCAACUCUGUGCUCCGUCUGCCAGGGCUCCAACCGCUCCUCUCCAUCCUCCACCUUCUUUUUCCAAAGUAACAAAGCCAUGGAUUUCCUCCACCCCUUCCCUGCGCCUCCCCUCCCCCUCGCUGGCACCGGGGUUAUUUAUACAGAAUGUGGAAACAAUUUGCAGGAAAGUGAACAAUGUAAGUGGGAGCGAGGGAAGGGAGGCAAGUUCGUAGUGCACGCUGAGAGCCCCAGCAGUGAAAGGCUGCUUUUUGGGGAGCACAGGGAGCAGACUGGUUUCCUUUCUUCCUUCUCCCCUCUCUCACCAUCUCCCUGAGCUCCUUCUGUCCUGCUGGAGUCGAGGCCAAACCAGAGCAACCAGAUCUGAGUGCGUUUUGGAGGACGUUCAGGUUGGAUCCCGCCCUGCAGCGCAGCUCCGUGAGGCGGUGUCUGUGUUCUCAGUCCCCUCGGAGGUUCUGCUCUCGGAUCACUCCUGCUCCUGGAUUAGCAUUAAUGAAGAGCAUGUGUGCUCCAGAGGUCCUGCUCCAGGCCCUGGAGCUGCAGCACUGCCUGGUGUUAGACACAGCUAUUCCCAGGAACAGCUCAGCUCAAAGAGGACAUUUCUGGGAGUGAACGGGGCAGGAACUUCUUGCAAAGUCUAAUUUCAGUCUUUCUGCCCUCACCUGCUCAGCACUGCAUUUCCAGGGCAUCCCAGCACCUUGCUGGCUCCAUUGGGAGCAUGUCUGUAAAUCCAGCAGUUUCCAUGAGUGCUCUGGGCUGGGGAAGCUGAACCAGCACUCACUCAGCACCUCUGAGCAGUUCUGGGCUCUUCAGGCCUUGCUCUGCACGGUGAAGUCCUCAAAGGGAGAUGAUCCAAACACACACAUCCUUUGGGGA